rnacentral:lncRNA from 1 species
GUCCCUGAUACAGGACGCAGCCAAAUGCUUUGCUGCAUGUAGCCUUCUGACUAGGGAGUGGCAGCUUGAGAAACCCCGAUGCCUGUAAGCAGCAAAAUCAUAGGGGAAGAGAUUUAGAGUUGUGGAGGAGUUUUCCUAAAGUGUUGUCUUUUAUAACUGCUCCGGAGAGUACUAACUUGUUACCUUAUAAUGUAUAUAAGAUUGCAGUUUAUAUGUACAUAAAUCAAUAAGCCAGGGGAAUCAAGGAAAAAUAGAGAAGCGUGUUGCUGAUGGGAUCCUGGGAUGGAGCAGCUGUUCCUUGUUGAGAACAAGUCAAAGCUCUCAUCCUUGAGCAGGUUCUUUGGCUGUGGGUUAACCCUGUCAGGAAUAUCAAAGCAUGUGACAUGCUUGGCCACAGAAGUUGUCCAAAGAAGGAACACAAGAUCUGUUUUACUUCAUCGUGUCGCAACCUCGGUCAUGGACUCGGAAAGCAGACAGCAGCUCCGGUGUGAAAUCAUGAGCCUCUUCUUGCGUCUGCCUCCAGAGCGACUACCCACGUCCCUCACACUGCACAGGCUGCAACAUCCCCGAAACCAAAGACCAGCAGAGUUAUCCAUCUCGCAGUACUCAGAAUGUAGCUCGUUAUCAAUUAUAAAUAUGCAUAUGUGGAUGUGCUUGAACACCUUUAUUCACCUGCAUAAAUCAACACAAGACACACAAUUGCCAAAUGUAUUCACCUAUAAUGAACACCUACCUGGAUACACGGCUGGUUUGAAACAAGACCAAGCAGGCGAUUAUGCAGAGCAAUAA